AAGUACGGUAAUUACGUGGGACGUAAAGCGCAUGCAGGCGGCCUUAGUUAAGUCAGAUGUAGAAACGGCCCGGGGUACUUAACCGUACGGUAAUUGCUAUUUAGUAAACGUGGCGAGGCUAGAGUCUUGUAGAGGGGGUAGAAUUUCAGGUGUAGCGGUGAAAUGCGUAGAGAUCUGAAGGAAUACCAGUGGCGAAGGCGGCCCCCUGGACAAAGACUGACGCUCAGAUGCGAAAGCGUGGGGAGCAAACAGGAUUAGAUACCCUGGUAG
rnacentral:rRNA from 1 species